UACGUAGGUGGCAAGCGUUGUCCGGAUUUACUGGGCGUAAAGAGCGCGCAGGCGGUCGUUCAAGUCGCGUGUGAAAGCCCCCGGCUCAACUGGGGAGGGUCACGCGAUACUGAUCGACUCGAAGGCAGGAGAGGGAAGUGGAAUUCCCGGUGUAGUGGUGAAAUGCGUAGAUAUCGGGAGGAACACCAGUGGCGAAGGCGGCGACCUGGGACAAUACUGACGCUGAGGUGCGAAAGCGUGGGGAGCAAACAGG
rnacentral:rRNA from 1 species